rnacentral:tRNA from 1 species
GAGGGUAUAGCUCAAUUGGUACAGCCCAUGCUUAGUAUACACAAGGUCCUGGGUUCAAUCCCCAGUACCUCCU